rnacentral:rRNA from 1 species
AUGCUCUGUUACUCUCACAGAAUUAAAUUUCAUGUUGGAAUCAUACAGCUAUAUAGUACUACCUCCGUUCCUAAAUAUAGUACUUUCUCAUGUUUCCUGUUGGAAUCAUACAGCUAUAUAGUUCAAUUUGAACAGCAGAAAUGUCUUAUAUUGAGGAACAGAGAGUGUAUUAUUGAAGGAGGCAACAAAACAAAAUCACAUGGGCAUAUCAACAAUUCUUUGAUGCCCAUGGUAACUAUGAUAGCUAAGCAAAGCCCAAGAGAUAACCGUAACUGCAGUACAGUUCAGCGCAACUUAAAGUUUGAACCAAGAAUAAGUUUCUGA